rnacentral:rRNA from 1 species
GAUGAACGCUAGCGGGAGGCUUAACACAUGCAAGUCGAGGGGCAGCAUAGGGUAGCAAUACUCUGAUGGCGACCGGCAAACGGGUGAGUAACGCGUAUGCAACCUACCCUGUACAGGGGGAUAACCCGGAGAAAUUCGGAUUAAUACUCCAUAAUAUUCAUCAAAGGCAUCUUUUAUGAAUUAAAGCUUUUGCGAUCAAUGAUGGGCAUGCGUGACAUUAGUUAGUUGGUGAGGUAACGGCUCACCAAAACGAUGAUGUCUAGGGGUUCUGAGAGGAUUAUCCCCCACACUGGUACUGAGACACGGACCAGACUCCUACGGGAGGCAGCAGUGAGGAAUAUUGGUCAAUGGACGCAAGUCUGAACCAGCCAUGCCGCGUGCAGGAUGACGGCCCUAUGGGUUGUAAACUGCUUUUCCACGGGAAGAACCCUCCGACGUGUCGGAGACUGACGGUACCGUGGGAAUAAGCAUCGGCUAACUCCGUG